CCAGUUUUUAUUUUCAUGUUGGUUUUAAGCAUGGGUACAAACUUUCAGGUAGCCUAGCCCGUGACCCCUGCUGGAUGCCCGGAGGAAGGCAAAAAUCCUCCAGGAGCCGUGGCCGAUUUGCCCUGGAGGAAAACUCCUUCCCAACCCCAGAAUUGCCAGUCAGCGCUGCCUGCGCAUGUCAGAAAGGGCCAGAAGAGGGAGGGGGAAAGAGGGGGGGGACUGAGGGCCCUCAAGCAAGGACAUGGGGGAGGAAACGCGUUAGGGGAAGGCGGCGGUGGGGGGAGAGACGUGGAGACUUUUGGGAUAGAGGAGCCACGAGGGCAAACAGGGAACGAGUUCCGAGGUGUCCUUCGGACGGAGGAGAAGAGCGGGUGUGGCUUUUUCCGUGGCGAAACCGCUGCGGUAGAUAUCGAGGAAUGGCCAGAAUGUUGGAGCAAAAACAGGCCGAGAACAAUCUUCAAUCGCAAGGGUAUAAACGUAAAGGGCUAGAAAGUUAAAAAGGACCAGGCCGACCUGUUUUGUGCGAGUGGCUUCCGCCAACCUCGAGAGUGUUGGAAGGGUGGAAGGAAGAGAAAGAGGAGCGGAAGGGCGCAACGGGGUGCCCGUUUGGCAGGAACUUUCCUUCGGAUCAGGAGGGGGCUCUCCCGAGGGCUCCAGGCUCUCCCCUCCAAGGCCUCCCUCUGCCCUGCCCGAGGCCCUUGGAUUCACAAGGGCAGUAGGACGACUGCUGCUGGUCAGACUCGGCCUCCUCCGGAAGCUGCAGCCGGGAGCUUCCCUGCCUGUCCUGCUGAAGAAGUGGCUUCGCCCUGCCCAGGGGGGAGGCGCCGUCCCUGUGCCCUGGAGGGGUGGUGCCAGGGGCGCUCAGGCCGCACUCCAAGUGGCCUGCGUGCAGCGGCGGAACAAAGGGGUCAGCUGGAGUCAGCGAGUGGCAAGACAGCACGCCUGGCAGGGGCACGGUGAGCUGGAAACACGGCCGGGGGCCCCUCUUCCCGUGUCCCGUGGGCUCCUCGCACAAGCUUGGCGUAAAGCCCACUGGCGGCACGGAUGACGGCGGGUCCAGAAACUGAGCUCUGUGGCCAAAAGAACAAGAACGCGGCCCGUUGUGGGCGAUGGGCUAGCGGUGAGCCUGGAACAGGCGGGAAUCCUGCGGUAAAGGUAAAGGCAGAGCCGUGUGAUGUGGGUCCUGGCGCAAGGUGCGUUGCCUGUGGGCAAAGGGGUGGUGCAAGCCGCAUCGCUGUGUGGGCCCCACANGGACCACAUUGCCACGGAGCCUGGGUCUUCUGCCUUCAUCCUGGCAGCAAGGGAAACGGGAUCUGGAGAUGAUGCUUUUCCAGGGGAGCAAACCCUGGCAGGUUUCGUGGAAGGCAAGAAGAAAGGGACCUCAGCUUAUACUCUGCUGGUAUAGGAAACAACCUGGGAAAGGCACCGCUGCCCAGAACAGGGGGCUGUUCAGAUCAGGAUCUGGCUCAACCUCUCCUCCUUUAUGGUAGCCAGGAACACCUGGCAGAGCAGAGCUCAGAACACAGAAUGCUUCCUGCCCUCUUCUGGGCUGCUGUUCUUGGGAGGAACGGUGGUGCUCAGUGCUCAGACAGUUGUUGUGUGGUUUACUAUGCUCAAGGACCAGCGGCGCGUUCAGACAGUGUCAGCAGGGGUGGCCGGGGGGCGCAAGGCUUAAUGGAAAUGCCUUCCUUGCCAGGCGCAAUUUGCAGACUUUGGAGCCUCACACAGGGCCUACAAAACAAGCAAGGGAAGGAGGUUCCACGUCUGCACUGGCCUCCCUUCGUGAUGAACUUUCUGCUCCAGUUUUUAACAGUCGGGAAGGGGCUACAUCCACAUGCGGGGCCUGGGGUACCGCUCUGCAGUGGGCACGGUUUCAGGCCUGUCUUCCUGUCACCAUCCUCAUCAAAUUGGGCAGCCUGUCUUUUUCUCAGCUUCUUCUAAGUUCCCCCAGUGCAAAUAAAUCCAAAAAGGAGAAGACCA
ensembl:lncRNA